AUGACUCCCACGUGGUCUUGGGCUUCCGCUUUUGCAAAAGUCCUUUGCAGCCAGCACAGUAUCAUACCUAUAAGACGUGGAAGAGAGCAAGCUCACCGUGCUCAGGGUUUGGGGUAUGCUGUGUGUAGUGACAGCGCUCCCUGCAGGCCUCCCAGCCCACCUGUGACCUUGACCUCUUUGUCCUCAGGAGCCGGACUGUGUCCAGCGUUUCCAGCUUCCUUGCACCAGAAGCAUCUGGCAUGUCAGAGCGGCACUGUCUUCCACGGGACUCCAAUGGAGGAGCAGCUUCCAUUUAAAAGACUUUUGUGA
rnacentral:lncRNA from 1 species